UACGAAGGGGGCUAGCGUUGCUGAAUUACUGGGCGUAAAGGGAGCGUAGGCGGGUUAUCAAGUUGGAGGUGAAAGCCCAGGGCUCAACCUUGGAAUUGCCUUCAAAACUGAUAACCUAGAGGAUGAUAGAGGUAAGUGGAACUCCGAGUGUAGAGGUGAAAUUCGUAGAUAUUCGGAAGAACACCAGUGGCGAAGGCGACUUACUGGAUCAUUACUGACGCUGAGGCUCGAAAGCGUGGGGAGCAAACAGG
rnacentral:rRNA from 1 species